rnacentral:lncRNA from 1 species
AUAGAGCCAAUGAGCAGCUUGAUUGUGGAUGGUCCCAUCAGAGAACAAGCCCUGUCUUGUGGGCACUUGUAUGUGACCCAGUCUAGCAGCAUCCAGAAUCUUUUUACAGUUUUGGGCCCCAUGAAGGGCAUUCUAUAUUUGUAGUGGUCCCUACUCGAUUUUUAAAACUCCAGAAGCAUGUCUUUUCCUAGAAAUUGCCUGUCUUUUCAUAUCUCCCCUUUUCAAGAGGCUCCAUUAGACAAAAGUCAUAGCAGAAAAAUCUACUACAGAGACUUGUUCUGGUUCUAAUAUUUGGAGUUUAAAUUCCAGCCUACCCACUGCUGGCAAAAAGCAAGGAGGUUGUGUCUA